rnacentral:lncRNA from 1 species
CUGCCAUAGCGGCAAGGGGCAACAUCCCUUUUCCUUCUCUCGGAUCCUCUGUGCAUAGCAGGACCGCUGCCUCUAGCCACCGCAUUCUGGCCGCACCACCACUGUCAACCACCACCAACCCCACCCCUCCUCCUCUCUUCUCUCGCUUAGGAAGUUUUAGAGAAACCCAUGGAUCGGUAUGAGAAGAAAGGAAGAAAGAUGAGAAGAAAGAAAGAAAAGA